CGCCAAAUAAACUGCAGGAGACACAAACACAGAUACUAACAGAGCAACUUUACCAGCAGUAACAGUCAUGAGUUCAGCUCUGUAUCUGAUCCUGCUUUUCUCAGCUCUGUGGACUCUCUCCUUCUGUGGGACUCGUCAGUUUCAUGUGGUGAAUGAAACGAAGAACUGGACCGACGCUCAGAAAUACUGCAGAGAAAAUUUCACUGACCUGGCCAUUAUUGAGAGCCAACAGGAGAUGAACGCUGUAAUAGCUGUUCUCAA